UACGUAGGGGGCUAGCGUUGUCCGGAAUCAUUGGGCGUAAAGCGCGUGUAGGCGGUCCGGUAAGUCCGCUGUGAAAGUCGGGGGCUCAACCCUCGAAUGCCGGUGGAUACUGUCGGGCUAGAGUGCGGAAGAGGCGAGUGGAAUUCCUGGUGUAGCGGUGAAAUUCGUAGAUAUCGGGAGGAACACCAGUGGCGAAGGCGGCUCACUGGCCCGGUACUGACGCUGAGGUGCGAAAGCGUGGGGAGCAAACAGG
rnacentral:rRNA from 1 species